UCACGGGAGACACACGGCGGGUGCUAACGUCCGUCGUGAAGAGGGAAACAACCCAGACCGCCAGCUAAGGUCCCAAAGUCAUGGUUAAGUGGGAAACGAUGUGGGAAGGCCCAGACAGCCAGGAUGUUGGCUUAGAAGCAGCCAUCAUUUAAAGAAAGCGUAAUAGCUCACUGGUCGAGUCGGCCUGCGCGGAAGAUGUAACGGGGCUAAACCAUGCACCGAAGCUGCGGCAGCGACACUGUGUGUUGUUGGGUAGGGGAGCGUUCUGUAAGCCUGUGAAGGUGUGUCGUGAGGCAUGCUGGAGGUAUCAGAAGUGCGAAUGCUGACAUAAGUAACGAUAAAGCGGGUGAAAAGCCCGCUCGCCGGAAGACCAAGGGUUCCUGUCCAACGUUAAUCGGGGCAGGGUGAGUCGACCCCUAAGGCGAGGCCGAAAGGCGUAGUCGAUGGGAAACGGGUUAAUAUUCCCGUACUUGGUGUUACUGCGAAGGGGGGACGGAGAAGGCUAUGUUGGCCGGGCGACGGUUGUCCCGGUUUAAGCGUGUAGGUGUGUGUUCCAGGUAAAUCCGGUUCACUUUAACACUGAGGCGUGACGACGAGGCACUACGGUGCUGAAGCAACAAAUGCCCUGCUUCCAGGAAAA
rnacentral:rRNA from 1 species